rfam:Amazona aestiva scaffold_180, whole genome shotgun sequence.
GGCCCAGUCCUUCCUGCNGUGAGGUCACAGCCCUGUCUUUGUGACACUGCUGUCUGUUGCCAUGGAAGUGNUUGUGCUUUCACCAAAUCAGCACAGCAAUGACUCCACAAGCAAGGUCAUGGAGGAGCAGAUGGGAGGAGGGGGGGA